UACGUAGGGGGCUAGCGUUAUCCGGAAUUACUGGGCGUAAAGGGUGCGUAGGUGGUUUCUUAAGUCAGAGGUGAAAGGCUACGGCUCAACCGUAGUAAGCCUUUGAAACUGAGGAACUUGAGUGCAGGAGAGGGCGGUGGAACUCCAUGUGUAGCGGUGAAAUGCGUAGAGAUAUGGAGGAACACCAGUGGCGAAGGCGGCUUCCUGGUCUGCAACUGACACUGAGGCGCGAAAGCGUGGGGAGCAAACAGG
rnacentral:rRNA from 1 species